rnacentral:lncRNA from 1 species
GAAGUUAAUGUGUUUUGAAGAACACAUCACAGGUGAGAGAUGUGGGCAUCAGAGUCAGACGAAGCAGCAGUUAGCAGGAGGCGGCCAGUAUGAGAGAAGGCCAGCCACAAUAUGGAAGCAAUUGAUUGCUAAGGAAACUGCAAGUCUCCCUCUCCAAACCAAAUUCCUGAGACUGGAGCCCUGACCUGAGACUGGAGGUGAUCCAAAUGCUGAUAGUCAUCCUUAUUGCCACUAUCCCACUCUGCAUUUCCUGGUUGGAUAAACAUCU